rnacentral:lncRNA from 1 species
AGUUCUGAAGCUGUGUCUGAUUCACUGUGACAGCCCCUCUCUCAUGGGUCCCAUCAUCCCUCCCUGCAUCUCAUUUCUGUUGGGAAUUCCCAAAGCAGAAGGAGUUUCUUUGCUGCUUCCCUUUUCAGAAACUUGGAGACCAUAUAUCUUUGCAAAGUGGAUUUUUAAAAAUAAAGAAGAAAAGAUUAAAUCAGAGAAGCUCCCAAGUUUUCUGCCUUCUGCCUGGACCAGCUUCCUGUGCUUCUUCCUUUCCAAAAUUGAUGUGGUAAAUGUUAUUGCAGUAGCACUGGCUCAGAAAAGCCCAGGCCUUCCAAGAAUGUAACCUUCAUGGAGAAAUUCUGCGACUCUUUCUCCUCUUGGGAGGCUAGAGAGGUAAGACGUAGAAGGAGAGAGAGAAAAAGAGACACGGAGAAAUUUGCCUUGUUAGUGGCUUUCAGGAGAACAAGGCCAGAAGACACAGAGUCCCGGACCUUAUCCACCUAAACUAAGGGAACAGGUGUGGGCUGCCUAACUUGUCAUCUAGUUCCUAGGGGAAGAGAAGUGGCAAGUUCCAAGGCCACUUCCUUGGAACUGGAAGAGGAAGCAGAGAUGGGCCACCCUCCCUACCAGCAUGAAGAGAUGGAAUAUGAGUCAGAUGUAGUGGUUCCCACACUGGCAUGAUGAAAGCCUGGAGCUGUCUACGAGCAUACAGACCUUGGGGAAAGAGGAGGAAGUCAUAGUGUAGCGCAAAGCUGAACCUCAAGAGGGCAGGAAUGCUGAUGACAUCAUUUGAGUCUCUGGGUCCACUCCGCCCUGUUCUUCCCAGUUAUGUGAAUCAACCAAGUCCCUUUAUUCCUUCACCUAAUGUGAACUGACAAAUCUCAUUCAAUUUAUGGCAAGGGAGUGAGAUUUAAUAAUCUGGUUCUUAGAUUCUGGAAAUGAUUCUUAUUUAGUGCCAAUACUCCUGUAUAGGUGAAUACAUAUCUAUUUUUGAGAAAUCAAUACACAUUUGUAUGCCAAGGCCAAA